AGAAGACGUGCUGUUGUAGCUAGCACGCUGUUCCCUCAUUAUUCUCCUGUCACGGGAUUAGCUUUUCUUUCUAUUCCAUCUUUCCUUGCUUUUUCUCGUGCUCUUGUUGGCAUUUAAAACCCUCACGAAUAUCUCGGAAUCCUCCCUCGCUUCCCCCUCUUUUCAUUGCCAGGAAUACAGCAUAAGAAUAGUUUUUUAAAAAAA
rnacentral:lncRNA from 1 species